UUAUUAGUGUUUUGGUUACUAGCAAGGAUUCUUACAAAGUUAACGUGAUCAUUUUAAAUUAGAAGAGGUACGUGUGCAUAUUAAUUUUUUUAUGUUAAUUAAUAUUAUACCAAUGUUAGAGGAGUUUGAAUAUCCUAAAUAUUCAUCCAUAGUGAAGUAGGUUUUAAUAUUAAUUGUGUGUUGCGGUGAUAACGGAAGGUUUCUAACUUGUGUCCCUUAGUGAAGUAGGUUCUGCGAAAAUUUGAUUGUGUUGCGGUGGUAUAAGGAUGAAAACUUAUUGCAUGUUGGUUGAAUUAUUUGAAUUAUUUGUUUGCUAUAAUAGAUGGAUUAUGUAGUGAGAAUUGGAUGUUGAUAUUAUUGGUGCCGGACUCUUAUUGGUUAUGUUUCAUGGAUCCCAAAAACUCACACUUGAGUAAUCGACCUAAUAUUAGAGAGACGGUCACAUUGGCAUUUCAAACUUACUACAGGGCUAUAAGGAAAGAAAUUCCACCGAAGCUAAAAGUUCGACGCCCAACUUGUCCACAUCAACUGGAAGACACCGAAUGUGGAUAUUAUGUAAUGAAGAUGAUGAAAGAUUUAAUUCAAGCUUCGAACCGGAAACACUUUUUGGCCGAGUUAAGUGAUGCAAAUUAUACAGAAGAAUAAAUUGAUGAAGUGAAAGAGCAUUGGGCAAGUGAGAUGUUAUCGGUUAUUCAAACUUACUGACGUUAGUUGUUUUUUGUUUUAAUAGACCAAUGGGCAAGUGAUAUGUUAUCGGUUAUUUAGUUGUUUUUUGUUUUAAUAGACCAAUAGUUAUUUUAUAAUUUUAUAGUUAUGGAUUUAUUGGUAUAAUGAAUUAAUAUGUAAUAUUUAUUAGUUGUGUUGACGUGAAUUAUUAUAAUGGUCUAAUUUAUAUAAAUUUUACAUUUGGUCAAUUAAAAUUAUUAUUGUUAUAGUUAAUUGUAUUUGUAUAUAAUUAAUAUAAAUUAUUAUUUAUAAUAUAUAAAAUUUGAAUUAAAAUAAUUAAUUAUUAUA